ACAGUAAAGUAAAGAGAGUUGAGUGUGCCAACGUAACCACAACAUAAAUGCAACUCUCUCUCUCUCUCUCUAUUCAUUCUGCACUACGCAGAUGCAUAUGCUCUUAAACCAACAUCUUUUUCUGCUUUUUCUCUCUUUCAAAUUAACUAUUUUCUUUUCUUUUGAAUUCAUCUUUCAAAUUGUGCAAAAUUAAACCCUCAUAUUCAAUUAUGGAUUCUGUAAAAUCGGGUCACUUUGCUAUGGAACAAGAACAGAAAUUCAAUUGCUAACAUUUUUUACUUUUUUUUUUUUUUUUUAAACUUUUAUUAAGCGCGUUUUUUCGCAUUUCAUUGUUUCCUCUGAUCCUCUCUCUCUCUCUCUCUACAUCUUUCACCACAUUCGAUGAGCGAUAUUAAGGGAAGAAGUGGGUUUUGUGUGGUUCCAGAUGUGAGACAAAUUUGCUUUAGAAAAGGUAUUCUAUAUGGAUUUAUGCGAAUCUUUUCUAUACCAUUGAAAACACUGCGUGGAGCUAGUCGGUCGCUGAGGGUAGAUCAAUUUUGCAGUGUAGUGAGUAUUUCUUCGUCAUUAAUGAUUGAAUUGGUUCCAUGCCUAAGGGACAAUUAUGCAUAUAUUUUAUAUGAUGUGGAUACAGGGACUGUGGGUGUUGUUGAUCCUUCUGAAGCUGCGCCAAUCAUAGAGGCUUUGACCAAGAAAAAUCUAAAUUUGACAUACAUACUGAAUACACACCACCACAAUGAUCACACUGAUGGAAACGCAGAGUUGAAAGAAAGGUACGGGGCAAAGGUAAUUGGUUCUGAUUUAGACAAGGAAAGAAUUCCUGGUAUUGAUAUCUAUUUGAGUGAUGGAGAUAAGUGGAUGUUUGCUGGUCAUGAGGUGCAUAUUAUGGCCACUCCCGGUGUUACACGAGGCCAUAUUAGCUUCUACUUUCCUGGAUCUGGGGCAAUUUUUACUGGAGACACCUUGUUCAGCUUAUCAUGUGGCAAGCUCUAUGAAGGAACCCCGGAGCAGGUGCGGAUUUCUGAAUAUGUUGCUGAUGUGCAAUGUGAUGCUGUCUUCUCUUAAAAAGAUCAUGUCGUUGGCAGAUGAUACAAGUAUAUAUUGUGGUCAUGAAUAUACAUUGAAUAAUUCGAAGUUUGCAUUGUCCAUAGAGCCUGAAAACAAGGAACUUCAAUCCUAUGCUUCACAUGUAGCUCACCUUAGAAAUAAAGGCUUGCCCACGGUUCCAACUACACUAAAGAUGGAAAAAGCUUGCAAUCCAUUCCUUCGCACCUGGAGCACAGAAAUCCGGCAAAAACUAAAAGUUGCAGCCACUGCAGAAGACGCAGAAGCCCUGAGUGUUAUUCGACAAGCAGAGGAUACUUUUUAGUUUUUUUUUUCAAUAUAAAUUUUCAUCUCUACAGAUAUAUGUAUUGUGUAUAGAUUAGGUUAUUGAAGCCAUCAACAUUUAGUUGUCGAUGUCUUAAUAUAAUUUUUCAACUCUCUUUUGAGUUCAUUCUGGAGUUAUUGAUAUAAAUUAAAUCAAAUUUUGUUGGCACGUUGGGUAAAAAAUAAAUAUGGUGCAUUGAAGUUGUUCAUCA